AUUGAACGCUGGCGGAAUGCUUUACACAUGCAAGUCGAACGGCAGCACGGACUUCGGCCUGGUGGCGAGUGGCGAACGGGUGAGUAAUACAUCGGAACGUGCCCAGUCGUGGGGGAUAACGUAGCGAAAGCUACGCUAAUACCGCAUACGAUCUAAGGAUGAAAGCGGGGGAUCGCAACACCUCGCGCGAUUGGAGCGGCCGAUGGCAGAGUAGGUAGUUGGUGGGGUAAAGGCUCACCAAGCCAACGAUCUGUAGCUGGUCUGAGAGGACGACCAGCCACACUGGGACUGAGACACGGCCCAGACUCCUACGGGAGGCAGCAGUGGGGAAUUUUGGACUAUGGGCGCAAGCCUGAUCCAGCCAUUCCGCGUGCAGGAUGAAGGCCCUCGGGUUGUAAACUGCUUUUGUACGGAACGAAAAGGCUCUGGUUAAUACCCGGGGCUCAUGUCGGUACCGUAAGAAUAAGCACCGGCUAACUACGUGCCAGCCGCCGCCGUAA
rnacentral:rRNA from 1 species